rnacentral:rRNA from 1 species
GAUGAACGCUGGCGGCGUGCCUAGUACAUGCAAGUCGAGCGAACAGAUGAGGAGCUUGCUCCUCUGACGUUAGCGGCGGACGGGUGAGUAACACGUGGAUAACCUACCUAUAAGACUGGGAUAACUUCGGGAAACCGGAGCUAAUACCGGAUAAUAUAUUGAACCGCAUGGUUCAAUAGUGAAAGACGGUUUUGCUGUCACUUAUAGAUCGAUCCGCGCCGCAUUAGUUAGUUGGUAAGGUAACGGCUUACCAAGGCAACGAUGCGUAGCCGACCUGAGAGAGUGAUCGGCCACACUGGAACUGAGACACGGUCCAGACUCCUACGGGAGGCAGCAGUAGGGAAUCUUCCGCAAUGGGCGAAAGCCUGACGGAGCAACGCCGCGUGAGUGAUGAAGGUCUUCGGAUCGUAAAACUCUGUUAUUAGGGAAGAACAAAUGUGUAAGUAACUAUGCACGUCUUGACGGUACCUAAUCAGAAAGCCACGGCUAACUACGUG